UGAUAGAUAAAUAAAUUCUUCCAAUAAAAAAUUAAUGAAAAAUUUGAUCUGUAGGUUUCCCAAAAGUACAAGGAGUCGAUCUAUCCCAAAAAUUGGAUCUAGAGACCCUUGUAUUCCGAAUUCAUCAUCAACAUUAGCUGCAGGAACCUCCUCUUAUAUGGCGGAUGAGAUCACCCUUAGAAGAUAAGAAAAUGUUUCAUUUGAAAAUAAAUACGAAACUUUAAGGUAAUCUGAUUGAUUUUACUGUUUAUUCGAUUAGUGUACAGCAAAUAGUCUAACUUCGAACACCACCCAUUCCUCCCUUGAAGUAUUAAGGAUUCAAUAAUUGAGAUUCUUGAAAAAGUGUUAAUUUCAAUUUUUUUUUUUUUUUUUUUUUGGGAAAGUUGUUAAAUAUGUGAUCUUUAAUUAAGAAUGUAAUUAGGAAUGAUCAUUACUUAUUAAUAGAAAUCGUGAAUUGAAAUAGUUUGGCUUUUAAUAUGUUCGAAUUGCUAACGAAUUAAGAAAUCUAAAUAAAAAGAAGGUGGAAUCAAUGAAAUCUUGGUUGGUCUUCACUAUGAACUUGAGUAAGUAGUAGAUAUUUUUGUUUUGGGCUUUCAAGAAAUAUUUGCGAUGGAGAACUCCUUCCAUGUUGCUAAGCUAUUUGUUCAAUUGUCUAAGUGAUUAUUUUAAUAUUGAUUCCAAUCGUUUAUUUUCAAAAAGGGGAAUUAAUUGGAUUCAUUUUGCAAGUUUAACAUUUGAACCGCCCAAUAAUUUAUGAAGGAUAAGCAAUUAAAGUCUAUGAAUUGUUGUUACACAUUAUAGCAUCGAAUCGUAGUUGGAUGUUGAAUUGAUCAGAUGAAGGAUUUCUUUCAGGCAGAUUCAUUCAAUGUGUUAAAGAGUUCAUUGAAUUUGCCAUGUCUCAAACAAGAGUUGGAGAUAUGAUCAAACGUCCAUGUUCUAUUUGUAAGAACACAAGGUUUCUAAAAGAAGUUGAUGUGAAAUUUCAUCAUUACAAAAAUGGAUUUACAAGGGACUAUACAGCUUGCAAACACAUAGAGAACCAUUCAAUUUCAAUGGUCUAGAUUUGGCUGAAUCCUCAACAGCACAAGCUGCAAGAAAAGAUAGCCAUGAAACAAUGGUGAUAGACCUCAUGAUGGGAUAGGCUCUGAGAUGCCUUGCCUAGUAGGUAAUGAUUGACCUCCUCGGUCAUCGAAAGGAUCGCGGAGACCCACCACACUCAUUUAGAGGCCUUUACAAGCAUGAUGGCACCUGAAACGUACAAUAACUACAUCAAUCCAAAUGUUUGUGCUCAUGAGGAACAAGUCCCAAAUCAACGUACAAAAAAUUUCUUUGGACUAUUGGAAGAAGCUAACAAACUCAUGUGGCCUAGUUGUAAUAAGUACACAAAACUUUCUAUUGUGGCACG
rnacentral:lncRNA from 1 species